UUUCUCCUCCAUGAUACCCAAUCAGGGUAUUACCCCUCUGGGGUGGCAACAAGGCAUCCAGUGAGAAAGCAGAUUGGUCUAUUUCAGGAAAUGAUACCACAUGGGUCCAAAAGUGUUGCACAUGUGGCAUUCUGAACCCUCAAAUUGUACAAGAAAUUUUGGUGUUCUCAUCAAGCAACCUUAAGUGUAAAUUGUUUGCUAGCAUUCCCAAAGGUUGCCUGAAUUCCUGCAAGCAUCGUGACUUCUGUCAUGUUGCUGGGCUUGACGUUUCACCAGUUGUGAAUGUUGGCUCUUUUAGAUGCAGAUUAUUAGACGGAGUCAUUAAAUGGGAAGGCCAGAAAGAACUUUCGGUGCAUGCUCCCUGCCCUGCUUUCAAGGCAUUCCCCUGCUGACAUGGCUGAUGGGUACUGGUGUGCUAGAAAUUCCUCACUCUGUCCAGGACGUCAGAGAUAGAAGUCAAGUCCUCGGGCCCUGAUCCGCACAAGCCACUCAGUGGACAACAACCUGCAAGUCUACUUACAAACUCAUUCUCUGCAAAUUCCGUCACCAAGCUGAACUCUUCAUCGGAGGUUUCGUCUUGUGGUGGCAUCCUCCAGAAUGCCAGCCUUGUACCCAUGGACUUUCAUAUCACAAUUUUUCUACAGAAAGUUUGGCGCCUGAUUUUUUUUUCCACUUUAAGAAACAAAUGUGACUUAAUCUUAACAGGAUCCUGCAUUUUCUGUAAACAUCCAUUCUGUUGAUUUGUAUUUCAUUUACAGUAACAUGUUUGCAAUAAAGCAGGUCUCAUUGUGCAUAGUAAAUUAAAGUGUUGCAUCUGAUUUCCCAAAAGGAGUUGAUAAAUUAAUUGGUUCCUGAUAAUUGGAAGUGAACCAUGGGUUACAUGUACAUAAAAUUUGGGAUACAAGGGAAGUGUUGGGUACAGUCAAAUAUUCUGUAGGCUUCUCAAUGCUGGUAUAGAUACCUGUAAAUGUUCAGAUUCAUUAUAGUGAUAUUCUACUGUACAUGUAUACUGAUCGAUAUGGUAUCAACAAUGAAGUAAAGAUAUACUGUUAAUAAUGUAAAAAACAUAUUUUUUCAAGGGGGGGUCAGAGGAACACAGCAUUUAAGUCGUUAUUUAUUAGUUUUGGGGCACCAUCUUCAGUUUUAAUGCCAUUAUCCAGACUAUUCUAGGUUGGCCUGCUUUCUCCCUAUGGCUCUCCUCCACUUGACCCUGUUCAUAGCCUUUCAUUAAUUCCCACAAUACAAGAAUUGGCAGUUUGGAACUCAUGACUUAACAAUAAACCAGUGUAGCAUCUGAACCCA